GACGAACGCUGGCGGCGUGCCUAAUACAUGCAAGUAGAACGCAGUUGCGAACGGGUGAGUAACGCGUAGGUAACUGCCUCAUAGCGGGGGAUAACUAUUGGAAACGAUAGCUAAUACCGCAUACUGUGAGAUGGACCUGCGUGGUAUUAGCUAGUUGGUGAGGUAAAGGCGCACCAAGGCGACGAUACAUAGCCGACCUGAGAUGGUGGUCGGCCACACGGGAAGUGAGAGACGGCCCAGACUCCUACGUGAGGCAGCGGUAGGAGAUGUUCGGCAAUGGACGGAAGUGUGACCGAGCAACUCCGCGUGAGUGAAGAGGGUUUUCGAAACGUAAAGCUCUGAUGUUGGAGAAGCGGUAACUAGCCAGAAAGGGACGGCUAACUACGUGCCAGCAGCCGCGGUAAUAC
rnacentral:rRNA from 1 species